UACGUAGGCAGCAAGCGUUGUUCGGAAUUACUGGGCGUAAAGCGUGUGUAGGCGGUUGGGUAAGUCUGGUGUGAAAUCUCCCGGCUCAACUGGGAGGGUGCGCCGGAAACUGCCUGGCUAGAGUGCGGAAGAGGAGAGUGGAAUUCCCGGUGUAGCGGUGAAAUGCGUAGAUAGUCGGGAGGAACACCUGUGGCGAAAGCGGCUCUCUGGACCGUAACUGACGCUGAGACACGAAAGCGUGGGGAGCAAACAGG
rnacentral:rRNA from 1 species